rnacentral:rRNA from 1 species
UAGACCGCCUGGGGAGUACGGCCGCAAGGUUAAAACUCAAAUGAAUUGACGGGGGCCCGCACAAGCGGUGGAGCAUGUGGUUUAAUUCGAUGCAACGCGAAGAACCUUACCUGGUCUUGACAUCCACGGAACUUUCCAGAGAUGGAUUGGUGCCUUCGGGAACCGUGAGACAGGUGCUGCAUGGCUGUCGUCAGCUCGUGUUGUGAAAUGUUGGGUUAAGUCCCGCAACGAGCGCAACCCUUAUCCUUUGUUGCCAGCGGUCCGGCCGGGAACUCAAAGGAGACUGCCAGUGAUAAACUGGAGGAAGGUGGGGAUGACGUCAAGUCAUCAUGGCCCUUACGACCAGGGCUACACACGUGCUACAAUGGCGCAUACAAAGAGAAGCGACCUCGC